rnacentral:rRNA from 1 species
AGAACGAACGCUGGCGGCAGGCUUAACACAUGCAAGUCGAACGCUCGUAGCAAUACGGGAGUGGCAGACGGGUGAGUAACGCGUGGGAACAUACCCUCCGGUUCGGAAUAGCUCAGGGAAACUUGGAUUAAUACCGGAUACGGCCGAGAGGCGAAAGAUUUAUCGCCGGAGGAUUGGCCCGCGUUCGAUUAGCUAGUUGGUGAGGUAACGGCUCACCAAGGCGAUGAUCGAUAGCUGGUCUGAGAGGAUGAUCAGCCACAUUGGGACUGAGACACGGCCCAAACUCCUACGGGAGGCAGCAGUGGGAAUAUUGGACAAUGGGCGCAAGCCUGAUCCAGCCAUGCCGCGUGAGUGAUGACGGCCUUAGGGUUGUAAAGCUCUUUCGCUCGGGACGAUAAUGACGGUACCGAGAUAAGAACGCCCCGGCUAACUUCGCGCCAGCAGCCGC